rnacentral:rRNA from 1 species
AACGAACGCUGGCGGCAGGCCUAACACAUGCAAGUCGAACGCCCCGCAAGGGGAGUGGCAGACGGGUGAGUAACGCGUGGGAGUCUACCCAGUGGUACGGAACAACCAAGGGAAACUUUGGCUAAUACCGUAUACGUCCUUCGGGAGAAAGAUUUAUCGCCAUUGGAUGAGCCCGCGUCGGAUUAGGUAGUUGGUGAGGUAACGGCUCACCAAGCCUACGAUCCGUAGCUGGUCUGAGAGGAUGAUCAGCCACAUUGGGACUGAGACACGGCCGAAACUCCUACGGGAGGCAGCAGUGGGGAAUAUUGGACAAUGGGCGCAAGCCUGAGCCAGCCAUGCCGCGGGAGUGAUGACGGCCCUAGGGUUGUAAAGCUCUUUCGGCGGGGAAGAUAAUGACUGUACCCGCAGAAGAAGCCCCGGCUAACUUCGUGCCAGCCGCCGCCGUAA